CCUACGGGGGGCAGCAGUGGGGAAUAUUGGACAAUGGGGGCAACCCUGAUCCAGCCAUGCCGCGUGUGUGAAGAAGGCCCUCGGGUUGUAAAGCACUUUCAGUGAGGAAGAACGCCUGGUGGUUAAUACCCAUCAGGAAAGACAUCACUCACAGAAGAAGCACCGGCUAACUCCGUGCCAGCAGCCGCGGUAAUACGGAGGGUGCGAGCGUUAAUCGGAAUUACUGGGCGUAAAGCGCGCGUAGGUGGCUUGAUAAGCCGGUUGUGAAAGCCCCGGGCUCAACCUGGGAACGGCAUCCGGAACUGGCAAGCUAGAGUGCAGGUGAGGAAGGUAGAAUUCCCGGUGUAGCGGUGAAAUGCGUAGAGAUCGGGAGGAAUACCAGUGGCGAAGGCGGCCUUCUGGACUGACACUGACACUGAGGUGCGAAAGCGUGGGUAGCAAACAGGAUUAGAUAGCCUGGUAGUG
rnacentral:rRNA from 1 species